rnacentral:rRNA from 1 species
UACGUAGGGGGCGAGCGUUGUCCGGAAUGAUUGGGCGUAAAGGGCGCGUAGGCGGCCAUGCAAGUCUGGAGUGGAAGUCCAUCUUUCAAGGGUGGAAUUGCUUUGGAAACUGUGUGGCUGGAGUGCAGGAGAGGUUAUCGGAAUUCCCGGUGUAGCGGUGAAAUGCGUAGAGAUCGGGAGGAACAUCAGUGGCGAAGGCGGGUAACUGGACUGCAACUGACGCUGAGGCGCGAAAGUGUGGGGAGCAAACAGGAUUAGAUACCCUGGUAGUCCACACCGUAAACGAUGAAUGCUAGGUGUAGGUGGUAUCGACCCCAUCUGUGCCGUAGUAAACACAAUAAGCAUUCCGCCUGGGGAGUACGGUCGCAAGAUUAAAACUCAAAGGAAUUGACGGGGGCCCGCACAAGCAGCGGAGCAUGUGGUUUAAUUCGAAGCAACGCGAAGAACCUUACCAGGUCUUGACAUCCAGUAAAGCCUGUAGAGAUACAGAUUCCCUUCGGGGGUACUGAGACAGGUGGUGCAUGGUU